rnacentral:tRNA from 2 species
GAAGCGGUAGUGCGGCUGGUCUGAAUCCGGCCUGACACACCCGGGUCGUGGGUUUCAGCCCCGUCCGCUUCGCCA